UACAGAGGUCCCGAGCGUUAAUCGGAAUUACUGGGCGUAAAGCGUGCGCAGGCGGUUAUGUAAGACAGUUGUGAAAUCCCCGGGCUCAACCUGGGAAUUGCAUCUGUGACUGCAUCGCUGGAGUGCGGCAGAGGGGAUGGAAUUCCGCGUGUAGCAGUGAAAUGCGUAGAUAUGCGGAGGAACACCGAUGGCGAAGGCAAUCCCUGGGCCUGCACUGACGCUCAUGCACGAAAGCGUGGGAGCAAACAGG
rnacentral:rRNA from 1 species